GAGUGAUCAACCGCUUGAACAAGCUAUGGAGCUUGAGUAGCUCAUUGGAAUUGGUGUUGGUUUUGGAGUAGAGUAUUGUUGACAUUGGUGAAGAACAAAGGUCGACUGAAGCAUUGAGGUAAGGAUGCUGCAGGAGCCUCUGGUGGCAAGUGGCCAUAUCUGGAUUAUGCAUGAAAUGUGGCAUUUCUUUUGAGUUUAUGCAUGCCUUUUGUAGUUGACAUGUAUAGGAUUUUAUUUUGAAAGCCCAUGGUCAUUUGUAUAUCUUGAUUCAUUGGAUGAACUUAGCCUAUGCUCAUGCCUUUGGUUACACCUUUUGUUGAUGGGAGCCAAGGGAAUGAUCAUAGUGUUUUGUAAGCUAAGUUCUAUGAUUUGUAAAGGAUAUGUAAUGUAAAUGAU